rnacentral:rRNA from 1 species
AGCGGCGAGUGAGCGGCAAAAGCUCAAAUUUGAAAUCUGGCACUUUCAGUGUCCGAGUUGUAAUUUGAAGAAGGUAUCUUUGGGUCUGGCUCUUGUCUAUGUUUCUUGGAACAGAACGUCACAGAGGGUGAGAAUCCCGUGCGAUGAGAUGUCCCAGACCUAUGUAAAGUUCCUUCGAAGAGUCGAGUUGUUUGGGAAUGCAGCUCUAAGUGGGUGGUAAAUUCCAUCUAAAGCUAAAUAUUGGCGAGAGACCGAUAGCGAACAAGUACAGUGAUGGAAAGAUGAAAAGAACUUUGAAAAGAGAGUGAAAAAGUACGUGAAAUUGUUGAAAGGGAAGGGCUUGAGAUCAGACUUGGUAUUUUGUAUGUUACUCUCUCGGGGGUGGCCUCUACAGUUUACCGGGCCAGCAUCAGUUUGAGCGGUAGGAUAAGUGCAAAGAAAUGUGGCACUGCUUCGGUAGUGUGUUAUAGUCUUUGUCGAUACUGCCAGCUUAGACUGAGGACUGCGGCUUCGGCCUAGGAUGUUGGCAUAAUGAUCUUAAGUCGCCCG